AGUGAACGCUGGCGGUAGGCCUAACACAUGCAAGUCGAACGGCAGCACAGUAAGAGCUUGCUCUUACGGGUGGCGAGUGGCGGACGGGUGAGGAAUACAUCGGAAUCUACUUUUUCGUGGGGGAUAACGUAGGGAAACUUACGCUAAUACCGCAUACGACCUACGGGUGAAAGCAGGGGAUCUUCGGACCUUGCGCGAUUGAAUGAGCCGAUGUCGGAUUAGCUAGUUGGCGGGGUAAAGGCCCACCAAGGCGACGAUCCGUAGCUGGUCUGAGAGGAUGGUCAGCCACACUGGAACUGAGACACGGUCCAGACUCCUACGGGAGGCAGCAGUGGGGAAUAUUGGACAAUGGGCGCAAACCUGAUCCAGCCAUACCGCGUGGGUGAAGAAGGCCUUCGGGUUGUAAAGCCCUUUUGUUGGGAAAGAAAAGCAGCAGGUUAAUACCCCGCUGUUCUGACGGUACCCAAAGAAUAAGCACCGGCUAACUUCGUG
rnacentral:rRNA from 1 species